rnacentral:rRNA from 1 species
GAUGAACGCUGGCGGCGUGCUUAACACAUGCAAGUCGAACGAUGAAGCCCAGCUUGCUGGGUGGAUUAGUGGCGAACGGGUGAGUAACACGUGAGUAACCUGCCCUUAACUCUGGGAUAAGCCUGGGAAACUGGGUCUAAUACCGGAUAGGAGCGUCCACCGCAUGGUGGGUGUUGGAAAGAUUUAUCGGUUUUGGAUGGACUCGCGGCCUAUCAGCUUGUUGGUGAGGUAAUGGUUCACCAAGGCGACGACGGGUAGCCGGCCUGAGAGGGUGACCGGCCACACUGGGACUGAGACACGGCCCAGACUCCUACGGGAGGCAGCAGUGGGGAAUAUUGCACAAUGGGCGCAAGCCUGAUGCAGCGACGCCGCGUGAGGGAUGACGGCCUUCGGGUUGUAAACCUCUUUCAGUAGGGAAGAAGCGAAAGUGACGGUACCUGCAGAAGAAGCACCGGCUAACUACGUG